AGAAUGUUGGUGCCUCAUGGUGUCCCAGAAAGAAAAAUGGACAUGGCGUCAGUAUGGAUUUCAGUAGAUAUUUCUAAGAAGAUCUGAGCAUAAAGGAAAUCAGACAGAAUCACCACACUUCCGGGUCACAGUUCCGGCGUUGGACCAAUCAGAUCGCUUUACAUUCGCUAGCCGAUGCUAAAGCAGACACUAACCUGCUUCCAUUGCGGCCAGCGGCUGAGCAUGGUCUCGCUGGAGGUACAGUCUUUUGGAUAUCCAUGUACAGAAAAGAUGCUGUGGUGAAGGAUGCAGGAUGAGUGUCAACGCUUCUCCUGAAUGAAUGAAUGCAUUGCGAAGAUGGUGUUUGCACUGUGGGAUGAGGUAGUAGGUUGUGUAGUUUUAGGGUGACACCCACACUGGGAGAUAACUAUACAGCCUACUGUCUUUCUCAGAGUGAAAAGAAAGCAGCUUCAAUGUCUACCAGCACGUGUUGGGGCUGUUUGGAAUAUGCAGUAUCAUAAGAUAAUAGGGCUAAAUAAGUCCUAAUUCACUGACAAACUUGGAUUGUGAUGUUCUUGUAUGUUAAAAGAUUCUGCUUCCACAGUGUGAGGUAGUAGUUUGUAUAGUUGUGGGAUAGUGAUUUUAUCCUGUCUGGAAGAUAACUAUACAAUCUAUUGCCUUCCCUGAGGGGCAGAGUUACAGUCACACUAUAUCUUAAAAUUGUUUAAUACCAAGUCCUAAAUGUCUUUUUAAGAGAGAAUUCUAUUAUUGUGAUUAUGUAAGUGCUAGCAUUUGUGAAUUAUUUAAUAAAUCAGUCACACAGUAAUAAGAACCUGUAAUGUUUUCAUUCAUUUUAUUAAAUUUGUUUUUGGUGAAUCAUGCUUUAAUAAAAAAUAAUCGGAGCACACAAAUAUAACAAACAUUUCUCAGAUAAUGGUGUAAAUAUGUAAUUCCUUUUUAAAAGAUAAAUCUGUAAUGUACAAUAGGUAGCUUCUUUUUUUUUUUCUUAAGAUUUCAGAACGUGUUUAAAAAUAUUAGUGCAGUGUUGCUGCUGUAGUGUUUAGAAAUCCACCUGUUUUAUCUUGCUCUGUUAUAGCCAAUGUGUAUAUGAUUAAAUGAUUUUGUAAUUAUGAUGUA